rnacentral:lncRNA from 1 species
CUUGGUGAUGUAAAACUUCUUUAACCCUUCAACAAAAUGUGUGAAAAUGGACGACACUUGAGGUUUCAGGGCAUGACCUGUGGAAAUAGAAAGAGGGUCAAGUCCCUCAACUCAAAGCCAAGUAGACCUCUGUCUUUUGGACAAUACAGUUAAAAGAAACCACUGAUGUCAGAUAUUCACACAUUUGGUCUCACUUAGCCCGCCCAUCUCCUCCCCAUCUCCUCCAGGACUCCAACAGGGCAGCAGUCACAUUUAUUUGGGUUUGGGAACAAAAAAGGAGGAAAAUGAAUGGUAACGUGAAUAACUUGACAAGUAACGAGUAGGCUGGCUGCGACAGGGACAAUAAAUCAGUGGCUUGACACGGCUAUAUCAGUCUUCCUCAGCCACCACACGUUUUGGUUCGUUUCCGAUCGGACACAGAAAGCGCCCAUGGACAAGCAGAAACGAGGGUCUGGAGCUGAUGGGAUGGUUAUCAAUCACAGCAGGAUAGAGUCCUGAGUCACGGAGACUGAACAAGUCAUUCCUUCCCCUCGGUCUCAGUCUCUUCAUCACUUCGUUUCCUCAUUGUUUCCAUUUGAAAUGUGACUGUGGAUCUUUAGGUGUCCUGCAGCCAUCAGUCUUUAAUUAAAUACUCAGUGACCAAAAAGAGAGGGUGAUCAUACAUAGUGGGUCAAUUCUUCCCGCUCUCUUUAAUGCGCAUUUAAUUGCCCUUCUCAUCUAACUAGCGUAUUGAGAUACGUGGCCCUGUAUUUUAUACUACUGUCCCAUUCUGAAAUACAGCAGACCCCUUCACUCAGCAGACAGGGUGAUUCAAAAAGGAAGACAAGGCACUAAUAAGCCCAAGAAGGUGUCCCAUCAGAGCCCUGACUGAGGUUAAGAUAUUAAUCUAAUAAGGUGUCCCAUCAUAGAGCCCUGACUGAGGUUAAGAUAUUAAUCUAAUAAGGUGUCCCAUCAUAGAGCCCUGACUGAGGUUAAGAUAUUAAUCUAAUAAGGUGUCCCAUCAGAGCCCUGACUGAGGUUAAGAUAUUAGUGAGAAACCGAAUGGCUUCAUCUUGCCUGCUUAAAGCUAAGAAGUGGGAAUAUAGGGUGAGUAAUGAGAUCCCAGGGGACUGAAGAACUUUACAAAGAUGUCUGGCACCAAUGCCUGAUUCCUUCCACCAGACCUCAAGAAACAAUAUUGUAAAACUUCAAUAAAACAACUGCUUAAAUUGUUCCCACAGUCAUUUUUCCAUCGGGCUUCAAUCCACAAGUCGUGCGUGCAGCUAGCUACUCCACUGGUGAAAUAACAAUCAAUUGAACUCAAUGCAAUGCAGCAGAGGGCGGGGAUAGCGCAGCAGAGGGCGGGGAUAGCGCAGCAGAGGGCGGGGAUAACGCAGCAGAGGGCGGGGAUAACGCAGCAGAGGGCGGGGAUAACGCAGCAGAGGGCGGAGAUAACGCAGCAGAGGGCCGGGAUAACGCAGCAGAGGGUGGAAGAAAAAAAGCAUUGUUCUUUUCUCAAAUGGAUUCCAGUUGGGUAAAGAGACACACACAAAAGCAGGCUAAUUAAAAAAAGAAUGGCAGAGUGAAGGAAUCAGAAAUGAAAAUAAGGUCAGGCCCACAGCACAGGCAGUGUGGAGAGCCAGAGAGCAGUCAGAGUAUGGCUUCACUUCUGAGCUCCCGUGUUUACAAAGAUACACAGGGCCUUCAGAAAGUAUUCACACCCCUUGACCUUUUCCACAUUUUGUUGUGUUACAGCCUGAAUAAUGUCAAAGUGGAAUUAAGUUUUCCAAAAGGUUUACAAA